rnacentral:rRNA from 1 species
AUACCGUGAAACUGCGAAUGGCUCAUUAAAUCAGUUAUCGUUUAUUUGAUAGUACCUUACUACUUGGAUAACCGUGGUAAUUCUAGAGCUAAUACAUGCUGAAAACCCCAACUUCGGGAGGGGUGUAUUUAUUAGAUAAAAAACCAACGCCCUUCGGGGCUUCUUGGUGAUACAUGAUAACUUUACGGAUCGCAUGGCCUUGCGCCGGCGACGGUUCAUUCAAAUUUCUGCCCUAUCAACUUUCGAUGGUAAGGUAUUGGCUUACCAUGGUUUCAACGGGUAACGGGGAAUUAGGGUUCGAUUCCGGAGAGGGAGCCUGAGAAACGGCUACCACAUCCAAGGAAGGCAGCAGGCGCGCAAAUUACCCAAUCCCGACACGGGGAGGUAGUGACAAUAAAUACUGAUACAGGGCUCUUUUGGGUCUUGUAAUUGGAAUGAGUACAAUUUAAACCUCUUAACGAGGAACAAUUGGAGGGCAAGUCUGGUGCCAGCAGCCGCGGUAAUUCCAGCUCCAAUAGCGUAUAUUAAAGUUGUUGCAGUUAAAAAGCUCGUAGUUGAAACUUGGGUCUGGCUGGCAGGUCCGCCUCACCGCGUGUACUUGUCCGGCCGGGCCUUCCUUCUGGAGAACCUCAUGCCCUUCACUGGGCGUGUUGGGGACCAGGACUUUUACUUUGAAAAAAUUAGAGUGUUCAAAGCAGGCCUUUGCUCGAAUACGUUAGCAUGGAAUAAUAGAAUAGGACGUGCGGUCCUAUUUUGUUGGUUUCUAGGACCGCCGUAAUGAUUAAUAGGGACAGUCGGGGGCAUCAGUAUUCAAUUGUCAGAGGUGAAAUUCUUGGAUUUAUUGAAGACUAACUACUGCGAAAGCAUUUGCCAAGGAUGUUUUCAUUAAUCAGUGAACGAAAGUUAGGGGAUCGAAGACGAUCAGAUACCGUCGUAGUCUUAACCGUAAACUAUGCCGACUAGGGAUCGGGCGAUGUUCUUUU